rnacentral:rRNA from 1 species
UACAGAGGGUGCAAGCGUUGUUCGGAAUUAUUGGGCGUAAAGCGCGUGUAGGCGGCUUGGCAAGUCAGAUGUGAAAGCCCUCGGCUUAACUGAGGAAGUGCACCCGAAACUGAGUAGCUAGAGUACGAAAGAGGGUCGCGGAAUUCCCGGUGUAGAGGUGAAAUUCGUAGAUAUCGGGAGGAACACCGGUGGCGAAGGCGGCGACCUGGGUCGAGACUGACGCUGAGGCGCGAAAGCGUGGGGAGCAAACAGG